AUUGAACGCUGGCGGCAGGCCUAACACAUGCAAGUCGAACGGUAGCACAGAGGAGCUUGCUCCUUGGGUGACGAGUGGCGGACGGGUGAGUAAUGUCUGGGAAACUGCCCGAUGGAGGGGGAUAACUACUGGAAACGGUAGCUAAUACCGCAUAAUGUCGCAAGACCAAAGAGGGGGACCUUCGGGCCUCUUGCCAUCGGAUGUGCCCAGAUGGGAUUAGCUAGUAGGUGGGGUAACGGCUCACCUAGGCGACGAUCCCUAGCUGGUCUGAGAGGAUGACCAGCCACACUGAAACUGAGACACGGUCCAGACUCCUACGGGAGGCAGCAGUGGGGAAUAUUGCACAAUGGGCGCAAGCCUGAUGCAGCCAUGCCGCGUGUAUGAAGAAGGCCUUCGGGUUGUAAAGUACUUUCAGCGAGGAGGAAGGUGUUGUGGUUAAUAACCGCAGCAAUUGACGUUACUCGCAGAAGAAGCACCGGCUAACUCCGUGCCAGCAGCCGCGGUAAUACGGAGGGUGCAAGCGUUAAUCGGAAUUACUGGGCGUAAAGCGCACGCAGGCGGUCUGUCAAGUCGGAUGUGAAAUCCCCGGGCUCAACCUGGGAAC
rnacentral:rRNA from 1 species